GCGCGGUGACGUCACCGCAUCUUUAUAAAGGGCCGCCUUGGGGCGCGAAAAGUUCGUGAGGUGUAGUCGCGGCAACCAGGAGGUGCACCCACCACUAGAAUUUGAACAUCCUAAGAACAGGUAUUUUUGUCUCUGCUUUGCUGAUGUAUCCUCAGCAACCGGAACUGCCUGACAUGCCCAGUUCUGGUGAUGAUUUCACUUUUGACAGAAGCUGUCCCUCAAAAGCAAACAUGCAAUAGAAGAAACAGAUCUCAGUAAGUAGCUUAUUUUCCUUACAAACACUACUGAAAUUUCUUAUUAAUGCUCCUAAUUUUCCCAUUAUGCACUGCAGCGUGAGUAUGGCUCCAGAGGCUGCACCUAAUAACUUCCUUGAGCUCUAAUGAUUAUUGGUAUCUUUUACUAAUGUGUAUCUGUUCUAAACUACACAAAAGCAUACAAAGCCAUCUCCCUCUUUUAAAAACUUGAAAAUGUGGGUAUCACCUUUAAUUAAAUAUUUUAAAUUUCUCUCUCCAAAUCAGAUUUAUCUAUGUGUGGGAGUUUAGAUAGUCCCAAGACUUUUGCUAAGACAGUAUUUCCAAUUUAAUCUUAAGUAGAAAAAUGUAUGUAAUUAAGAGAUUUAUUAUAAAACAUUUGGCAAAGAAGGAAAGAAAACAGUAACUAUGUAGGUAGUUUUUAUUAGAUUGCUAUAGGAGUAAUAGGGAAUUUUUAGAGGACUAGUUUCAAAAUUACACACCUGCAGAAGUUUUCAUUCUUCUACCUACUGUGAGGUAUGGUAUUACAAACUAAGAAGCAUUAAUGGAGAAUAACUAAAGGGUCUCAUAACUGAGUUGUAUAUAAUAUUGCUAUCUUGCUAUUGUUAAAGAUAGCCCUGAUUUUAGGAUGUAGCUAUUUUAGAGAGUCAAAAUGGAAAUAACACAUUGUCCACAUAGCUACUGUGAAAGCUGUAAUACAGAGUUAUCCUUUAUUUUGACACAUUUUUAAAAAACUGUGAAUAUAACUUUGUAACUAAUAAGGGAUGUUCACAUGAAGCAGUUCUUAAGCCUUCUAACUUCUUAAGGGAUCUCUUAACCAGCAUAAAUGGAACUGUUUCAAGGCCAUGACAUUAACAGACCUUUUUAGGUCCCAGUAGCCUGCUAGUCUGUAAAAGAAAACAAUGCUAUCCACUCCAUUAAAAUACAGAAGGCAUACAGUAUUGAACAGUGCCUAAA
rnacentral:lncRNA from 1 species